AGUUGUCUGCAGUAUAUAUCAACCUAGAUUUAAGUUGACUGCAGUAUAUAUCAACCUAGAUUUAAGUUGACUGCGUCAGACUAUUGUGUAUUUUCAUUAAAGUUGACUGCAUAAGAUGUUAAAUGACUGCAACUUGCAUACUAUCUUUUGUAUAUUGGUGGGGUGGUUGUGUCACUUGCCUGUCUGUUGAAGUUCUUAACAUUCAACACAAUGUAAUGUGUCAUAUCUGUGUGUGAGUCUAGCUAGCCAACACAACCUAAUGUGUCAUGUCUGUGUGUGUCUCUAGCUAGCCAACACAUCUAUGAUUAUUCUUAAUACUCAGUUAAAACACUAGACACGUGUCUAAGUAUAAAUAAUGUAUUCAUAUUAUUGUUUGGAAGAUGACAUUCUUGUUUCUAUCAUUUAGAAGCUGACAUUAUUGCAUCUGUCAUAUUUAUUUGUUAUUGUGUAGCCUGCCUGUACUCUUAUUCCCAUUUUUAGAAACAUAUUUUGUACUUUUCCCCCACCCAUUUUUCCAAACGUUGUGUACAUAUCUGUAGAAAUGAUUGCUAGGUUGUGCCCAGUAGUUCCUCUAGAAUACACUGCUGUCUAGCACUGUAACACUCAUGUCUAGAUAGUAGCUACACGGGAUGAGUUUCACUAUAAGUUGGUUUGUUUAUAUAUAUAUAUAUAUAUAUAUA